rnacentral:lncRNA from 1 species
CUUCUCUUUCAUUUUUUUGUAUGUUCCCCUAAAAAUAUCGUUGUAUUUUACAAAUUUCAUUUUCUCUAAUAGUAUCUAGGCAUCCAUGGAGAGGUUUUUAAGCUUCUUAUAUGGAACAUCGAAUUUAUCAUAUGUUCAUCGCUACAUCAAUGAAUCGCAUUUUAGCAACGAGAACCCCCAAUUGUGGACGAGAUUGGAUGGAAUCAUCUCCCUUUGUUUAAUCUUUGCAAUUGGAUUGAUCACUAUCAUCAUUUGUCUAUGUCAUAGAAGAGGAGAAGCAGCGGUGGCUCCCCAACCACUAGGAGAGGUGGAUCUUCAACCGUUGUAGUCGCCAUAAUAUACUAGGUUUUUAAUGUGGGUUUCAGUCCCCUUAAGAUAUGCAUCUGGGUU